AUAAAAUAAAAAUACUUAACAUGAAAUAUUAGUUCAUAAAAUACAAUAACAUGGGAAUGUUGGGAAUGUAUAUAUAUAUAUCACAUAACAACAGAAAAUAAGUAACUGGCAACAUGCAGGAAAUAAUGACAUAACAAAUGACGCAAAAGGAGGAGGAGGAACUAAAACUAGACAAGGGUUGAUGUUUUCACAUCUGCACAGUAAGGAAAUACUUGUGGCUGUAACAUGAUGAUAAAUCUCCAUACCGCCAUAUGGACCCUGAUGUCUUUGAUUCUGUCGGGCACUCUUGCUGCUAACUGGACAGUGCGUGUUCCUAAGGAUCCAGUUUAUGCUCCUUCUGGUUCUUCUGUAGUUUUGGAGUGCACCUAUGACUACCCUGAAGAGUCUGACCAGGGAAAACUGCACAAAGUACAGACAGAGAUGUGGUGUCUGAACGAAAGCCGCUGCAUUACUCCCAAAUACGUGUACCACAGUGCAGGGAUAUUCCCUGAGCCCUCAUACCAGGGCCGAGUCAAGUACUUGGGGCAGACAGGGAGCAAAAACUGCUCUCUGAUGUUAUCUGAUCUGAGGUCAGAAGACAGCGGCAUGUACGUGUUCCGGUUCAUCACCGACCAUCUGAAGGCCAAGCUACCAGGACAGAGAGGAGUGAAUCUACAGGUCACACAUCGGAUAGAAAGUAAGAAUAGUCUCUUAUGCUCUGGACAUGCAAUAGAUGAAAUGUUCCAAAAUGAGGAUGUUGCACAGAAAAAAGAAAUUGGGUUCCCCAAAGAACUUUUCAGUGAACAGUGCUUAAAAUAA
rnacentral:lncRNA from 1 species